GAAAAAUGGCAGAGAUUUGCAAAUAAACCAGGAGAGUCAGAAAGGGAAAGCAACCAAGGAUCUCAGUGCCUGUGAGCUGGUGAUGAAGCACCACCAGAGACCUUCCCCUUGCUCCUGCUUUGACCCCCUUCUCAGCGAGCUGCUCAACCUCUCAGGAGUAAAUCUGCCAACCUUACUCUUCCUGCAGGACAAGUGGCCAUUUCAGCACGGGCCAACAACAAUGAGCUGUGCUUUCAGGGUCAGAAAAAUGUGAUGCUCCUCAUAAAACAUGCUGAGUCCCAUCCCAGCUGCCUUCUGUCCGGGUGGAAUGCAAGAGGAGCCGUCCCAGAAGCAUCAGGCCGUGGCAUUGGGAUCCAUCUUCACCAAGCCUUGAAGACAUCGGGGGUGGGGAUGGAGCUGAUGUCCGAGAGGAGCUUCACGUUGGAGGAAAGAGGCAACAAACGGUGCAGAAGAUCACCUGCCCCAACCAGGGAGGUGUAAGGCCCCAUCCCUGGCAAUCCCACCUGUGCUUGGCUGUGGUGUGGUGGUGUUUUAUGACGUAUGCAACCCAAAAGUCGGAACCGGCACAGAUUCUCCCUCCG
rnacentral:lncRNA from 1 species